CAGUAGCCGCGGUAAUACGAAGGGUGCAAGCGUUACUCGGAAUUACUGGGCGUAAAGCGUGCGUAGGCGGUUUGUUAAGUCUGUUGUGAAAUCCCCUGGCUCAACCUGGGAAUGGCAAUGGAUACUGGCAAGCUAGAGUGUGUCAGAGGAUGGUGGAAUUCCCGGUGUAGCGGUGAAAUGCGUAGAGAUCGGGAGGAACAUCAGUGGCGAAGGCGGCCAUCUGGGACAACACUGACGCUGAGGCACGAAAGCGUGGGGAGCAAACAGGAUUAGAUACCCCUGUAGUCCAUGUCUCUUAUAC
rnacentral:rRNA from 1 species